UACGGAAAGGCAGCAGUGGGGAAUAUUGCACAAUGGGCGCAAGCCUGAUGCAGCCAUGCCGCGUGUAUGAAAAAGGCCUUCGGGUUGUAAAGUACUUUCAGUCGUGAGGAAGGUGUUAAGGUUAAUAACCUUAGCAAUUGACGUUAGCGACAGAAGAAGCACCGGCUAACUCCGUGCCAGCAGCCGCGGUAAUACGGAGGGUGCGAGCGUUAAUCGGAAUUACUGGGCGUAAAGGGCACGCAGGCGGUUAAUUAAGUUGGAUGUGAAAUCCCCGGGCUUAACCUGGGAAUGGCAUUCAAGACUGGUUAGCUAGAGUCUUGUAGAGGGGGUAGAAUUCCAUGUGUAGCGGUGAAAUGCGUAGAGAUGUGGAGGAAUACCGGUGGCGAAGGCGGCCCCUGGACAAAGACUGACGCUCAUGUGCGAAAGCGUGGGGAGCAAACGAGGGAUUAGAUAC
rnacentral:rRNA from 1 species